GACCGAGGUUGGAAAGAUUCUUUGCAAUUUGGUUUGCAUCUUCUGAUAGAAGGUCCUGCUGAUGAAUGACAUUUUAAGUACAGAAUUUUGAAUGCUUCAUCUAAACAAGUGUGGUGGAAGGAAGCUGAAACGGGAGCCUGUUGCAAGAGUAUUGAACCAACGGAUAGAGUCGGUGCAACCAGACAGCCCUAUUGUUUGUGUAGCUAAAGUUAGAUGGGUCGGAUAGGGAAGCAGAAAGGUCGAUGCUGAAACAUGAAUGGAAGUGUUCACCGUCAUUUAACUGUAAUAUUAUCUCACCCUGUGCUCACCAUGCUAGCCUUGUCAUAUAGUGCAGAUAAUGCGGCAAUUGUGUUUACUUCAAUUCCAGGUACGUAGACUAUGCUUUUCAUGCCAAAUGUUGUUGCCUAACGAAGUAGGAAUGUCGACAAAAAGCUCUAGUUAGUAGCUGCUAACUAAUCGUAUACGAAAUUAUGGACUGCUUUGUGUCUCUAGGCUUAAUCUAAAGCAGGAUGUUUUUCUUUGUUAAUGAAAUCCGUAGAAAGAUCGAACCUGUUUCACAUUGCCAUAUACCGCAGAAGGUUCAGUGAAAUCAAUAACAACUCCAGUUUCUUUUGACUGCAAAAUAUCAUAAUGAAAUAACAUCAACACAUUAUGAUCAUUUUUUCUUCAUGGAUGACUAAAAUUGGCGUAAAACUGUAAUUUCAGGACACGUGAUAUUACCUGAGAUAUGGAACCUAAUACCAUAGUAAUGUCAUUCAGAAUAGUUCCAGUGGCUCUUACAUGUAACAAAGCUAAUUUAGAAAAUAGAAAUGGAAAUUGGAAUUAAUUGGCAAAUGAGUCAUACAAAAGGACUAGUAUCAUCAGACACUGACCGUUCCAAUAUCUUGUCCGAUCGAUGAAACGGUUAUCCAUUGUGCCUGCAACUUUAGUGACUGCAAUUACUGCUGCCUUCCCUAUUUCCUUUGGUGCUCAUUUAUAACUACGUGUAAAACAGUAAAGAUUAUAGUAGUUCUUUUUCCUCUUUUUGAAGUUUAAGAGCAAGAAAUGAGUUAUAAACUUUAAUAUUGGUUUGAGCAGGCUGGAUCAAACAAGAGAUAAAAGGCUUAGUUUUCACAUUAUUACAGCUCUUGUAAACUGUGAAUUGAUAAUGGCAACCUAGGGCUGCCAAUGCCAUUAUUCUGUUAUCCUAAAAGGAUUAGUGGUGUGUCUCCAAAGAAUAAGCUAAUUCCAUAAGUUUCACUUUUUCUUUUGCUGAUAAGGUUCUUUAGGCUAAUUCUACGACAGUGACUUUGCAUGCCAGCCACACCCAGUGAAACAAUUAAAAUGCACAUAUCUACAUCUUCUUUUAAUGGGCUCCAUCCAUCCAAUUAUUUGAUCUAUUAAAUUGUUUAAGAAUCUAUUACUAUUGAUUUUUGACUUAAUCAUGUUGAAAUAAAAUAUAUAGAAGAUGCAAAACAAAUUAAUGAAUGUCAUGUUCAAUUGAGACAGUUUUAAUCUUGAUCAAUAUACAAAAUCUGCUUAUGAUAUGAUUAUCUCAAAUAGUUAGGCUCCAUUAUUGAAUUUUAUGACACUCCAUCCAAUUGCUAUACCACAAUUAGUCUGAUAAUCGGUGGGAUUUAUUGCCCACGUAUUUGCCAAAAUCAAUUCUAAAAAGUCAUGCUUACUAAGAAAACUACUAUUCCGAUCCCAUCUCCUACUUUAAAUUUUUUGACAUUAUUACAUCCCUGCAUUUUUAUUUAUGGAAAUUGAGUUUCUAUAGUUUAAUUUUUUCUUAACAUCAUGUCCUGUAGCCGAAGAUUUUGAUUAUUUUUGGAAUGAGUUUCUAUAAUUUCAUAUUUCUUAACAUCAUCUCCUGUAAGGGAUUGAUAUUGUUGGUCCAAAGUGGAAAAUAUCCAAUAUAAAUAAAAUGAAAAUGUAGGGAGUGAAUUAAAUGUGUUUAUUAAAUUGAGUCCAUACACAUUCUAAACAUUGGUAUUAACAGAAGCAGAAAGAAGUUUAGGUAUAAUAAUAAGUAAUGGAAUGUAGGGAAUUAGGAAAAUGGAGACUGUUUUUAGACCACAAAACAAAGAGUUAGAGACUUUUAAAGUGUAUGUACAGACUACAGUAUACAUACAAAUAGGCUUCACUCCCACCUCUCAUCCAUAUUCUCAUUUCCAACAUUAUCUUUUCUUUUAACAAAUUACAGUAUGAUUUGGCCUACUUUUAAUUGCGUUCUUACUCAUUUUAAUAUUCUUUUGCUCCUCAAAUAUACAUUUAUUUACUGUUGAAUUUCACCCGUGACAUCAAGUUAUGAGAUUUGAUUUACAUAAAUAACCAAAACAAUAACAUUAUUGAGUUGGAAUACAAUAAUUUGGUGUUUGUUUGGGAGAAUAAUAGAAUGUGGAUUGUUGAAACGAGUGGCCAUGUGCUGCUGGUUUUUGUAGAUUGUACGGAUUAUGGAGCAUCAUUUUCAUAGUUUCUUCCAACCCAUUAGUUGGCACUAUAGCUUUCCAUAUAGCUAGCAACACACUUUUUGUCGCACCAAACACAUCAAUAUCACUCCACAUUAACAAUUCUCUUGCUUUCUACAUUUAUAUUAAUCUCCCUUGUAAAUUAAUUAAUUAAUUACAUAUCUUCAUCAUAUGACAAUUUGUAGGCAGGGGCAGAACUAGAGUGUCCGGUUUUUUCUAUUUUUUUGAUGCUAUUUUUUCUUGCCCUGUUCGCUUUUUGAGUCGCUAGCUGUUUUUCUUUUUAGUUUUGAAUUAUGGUUGUAGAUGAUGGGUAACAUCUCAAAUGUUGAUUUUUCAUUAUAUUAGGUGGUAGCUGAAAGUUCAUUUUCUGAGUGUAAUUAAGGGUAGCUAAUGAAGGAAGUAAGUAAUUAUACUCUUAAUACCCUCUGAUACAAGUCGUUUGACAGUAGAAAUCAAAGUGAUGUGUUGAUGGAGAAAUAUUAAUUGGGUCAACAAACAUGAGUGGUUUCGGA